UGCGUAGACGGUAUGUUAAGUUCGUUGUUAAAGGCUCCGGCCUAACCGGAGUACCGCAAUGAAAACUGGCGUGCUAGAGGGUGAGAGAGAGAAGUGGAAUUCCCGGAGUAGCGGUAAAAUGCGUGGAUCUCGGGAGGAACACCAAUGGCGAAGGCAGCUUCUUGGCUCAUUCCUGACGUUGAGGCACGAAAGCGUGGGGAGGCAAAACA
rnacentral:rRNA from 1 species